rnacentral:ncRNA from 1 species
GUCUGUGUUGUAGUUAAUGAACGUGAAAUCACGUGCUUGGUCGAUGCAGUGGAACAGAGGGUUCCAAUCAAAGAAAGCAAGCAGGUAAGCGGGCAUGGUAUUGGCGACAAACAUCUUGCCAGACGCGAUCAUGUUGGCGCG